ensembl:lncRNA
AUGGAAACGUUAAACUUUUAUUAUGUGUUUUGUAUGUAUUGGGCUUGACUGUACCUGUUUUAAAGUGUGGUUUUGCCUUGUUUGCUUGUAGCUUCUGAUGGUGGUUCCUCCACCAACUCUGCUCCAGAAGCAUGAGGUCUCUCUCUGUUGCCAGUAUCAAACAGAGAAUCACAGACAAGAGAUGAAAGACUACAGUGAAAUCUGAAGUGAUGUUCAUCUAGACAAAAUAACAUCUGAAACUGGAUUACGAAACAAAAGUAACAUAGAGCACUUAUUACUUGAAAAAUGAAACAAAAGGGCUGGCAAGGCAGCAACAUGGAACUCACCACAUGCAGAACACAAGAAGACAUGGAACAACAAUGAUCGACGAAUGUGGGGAGCAGAGGGGAAACAUUGAAACACUUCCAAACGAUGUGAUAGGGACCUGGUGUGCAUGAUUAAAGACAUGACACAAAACAAGUCCGGGAUGUGUUCAUAAGUGAUGGGAAGUGAGAGUGCACGGAACGGUGGUGUUGCUGCUCACCGUACCGUGACAGUACCCCCCCCCCCCAAAGGCCCGGCCACCGGACGGGCCAACACAAACCCCGGCCCAAGGGAUGGGGGGGGAGGGGGCAGUACAGGACCCCCACCGGCACAAACCCGCCGAGGGGUCAGAACAAUGUUCAAUGUAAUGUCUUACAUUGAACUGAAACAAUAUCUCGAAAUACAUCAAUCUCAAUCCUGCAUCUGUCAUAAUGCCUGGUGACACACUGGUUAUGUAAUGGGAAAUCCCCAUAGGAGUAUUUUAGAGCUGAGAUUUGUAAUACUAUCAAAGCCUGUUGCAUUAAAUCCUGCCUGGUAACAGAUUACUUCACUGUUGGUUAGUUUGAAUGCUGGAUACUGUUGAUACUGUUGAAUAAAAUACUAUUUACUGUAUGGUAUGUCAGUAUUGGACCCACUCAGACCUAUAGAAUAUUCCCUCUUUAAAUGUUGUUACACUAGCUCAGACAAUGUACAUUUGGGAAAAAAGAGAAACUGACAAAUUCAUACCAAUAAUUGAAGUGCCUUAUUAUAAAAUGCAGAGAUACAAAUUCCUCAGAUAACACAAAUCUAGUGUUUGUAAAAGUGUACUUGUACCAUGAACUUUCAUACUGAGGAGGUUGUUUAUGGUACAAUGCUAAAUGGAAGAUACCUGGUAAAACACUGCUGACUGGUUUGAUGCAUGUAUUUGCAUCAUAGCAUCAAGUCAUUGCAUGGCAUAUGUAUGCUAAAUAAAACAACAGAAUUUUACAAAUCUCAAAAUGAUUCACCACCUUGGACUUUUCUACAUUUUAUUGUGUGACAACAUGAAAUCAAAAUGCAUUUAAUUAUGGAUUUUUGUGAAUGAUCAACACAAAGAACUUCACAAUGUCAAAGUGAAUGAUGUCUCCAAAUUGUUGUAAAUGAAUUACAAAUAUAAAACAGAAAAUUAUUUAUUGUGUAAGUAUUCACCCCCUUUACUAAAUUUUUGGUAGACAACAAUGGGCUGCUAUCAUUAAGGAUGAGGUAGUUGGACCUUUUCAGGUUGAAGAUGGACCAAAACUCAACUCCCAAACCUACUGCCAGUUUCUGGAAGAUACAUUCUUCAAACAGUGGUACAGGAAGAAGUCCUCAGCAUUGAUCUUCAUGCAGGACAAUGCUCCAUUACAUGCAUCGAAGUACUCCACUGCUUGGCUAGCAAUCAAGGGCCUCAAAGAUUCCAGAAUAUUGACCUGGCCCCCUUCCUUACCUGACCUAAAUCCUAUUGAGAACUUGUGGACCCUUCUCAAAUGUGAGAUUUACAGUCAGAGAAGACAAUACACCUCUUUGAACAGCAUUUGGGAGGCUGUGGUGGCUGCUUCAGCGAGUUGAUUGUGAACAGAUCAAGAAACUGACAAGACUGCAUGAAUGGAAGGCUCAUGGCAGUUAUUGAAAAGAAGGGUGGUUAUAUUGGUCACUGAAAAUUUUUGAAAGGAUAACAAUUUAAAUGUAUUGUCAUUUUGUGUUACUUAUUUGUUAGUGUAUCAAAUACUUGUUCUCCCCACUGUACUUAAAAAAUUGAGAAUGAACAUGUGAGUUGGGAGAUUUGUUUUUAAUUAGUUGCC